rnacentral:lncRNA from 1 species
AUGUUUGUCACUAUCCUGUGUGGAGACAACAGGAUGGAAAUAUUCAAUCUCAACUGUAAGCUGAUAAACCUCUUCCAUCGUUUAAAGGAGAGGUGCGGUCUGGACUUUAAGGAGAUGUUGAGGACACUGUCUAACCCUAACAAAGACAGAGAUGGAAAGACCAGAGGAGACUGGACAUGGAGGAGCAGAGCUGCCUGUCAACCCAGGCACAAAAUCACCUGGGCAACUAACAGGAUGUUACAUCAUUUCUAAACAAGUCAAGACAUGUGUCAUCUUCCUUAUUGUCACAGAAAGAUGCAUCAGAAGCUCCAGUCUCACUGUUGCACAAAGCUGCAUAAACCACAAAGGUUUAGAAACAGCCACAUUUCAAAGGCAGUGCUGGGAGGCUUCAUAUUAAUAUCAGCAAUAAAGGAUUUCACUGUUAUUGUAGACACGAUGUCACAGAGAAAUCUGAAACAAUAAAUAAGAAUUUUUAAAGUUGAUGUGUAACUUUAGUCUCAAUAUUAGACAUGUUUAUG